AACUUUCAGCAGUGGAUGUCUAGGCUCGCACAUCGAUGAAGAACGCUGAGAACUGCGAUACGUAAUGCGAAUUGCAGGAUUCAGUGAGUCAUCGAAAUUUUGAACGCAUAUUGCACUUCCGGGUUAGUCCUGGAAGUAUGCCUGUAUCAGUGUCC
rnacentral:rRNA from 1 species